UACGAGGGGGGCAAGCGUUGUCCGGAAUCAUUGGGCGUAAAGGGCGCGUAGGUGGCGGGACAAGCGUGCGGUGAAAGCCUGGGGCUCAACCCCGGGUCGGCCGUGCGAACUGUUUUGCUUGAGCACUGUAGAGGCAGGCGGAAUUCCGGGUGUAGCGGUGGAAUGCGUAGAGAUCCGGAAGAACACCGGUGGCGAAGGCGGCCUGCUGGGCAGUAGCUGACACUGAGGCGCGACAGCGUGGGGAGCAAACAGG
rnacentral:rRNA from 1 species